GGUUGCGAUCAUACCAGCACUAAUGCACCGGAUCUCAUCAGAACUCCGAAGUUAAACGUGCUUGGGCGAGAGUAGUACUAAGAUGGGUGACCUCUUGGGAAGUCCUCGUGUUGCACCCC
rnacentral:rRNA from 1 species